rnacentral:lncRNA from 1 species
UGUGGGUUCCUCUGACUUUUGUCCAUUUCCACAAUAAUUAACAUGCGUAAUACAGAAACUAACUGUUUAUCUGUAAGAUGUGGAUUUCCUGAGAAAUAAAGAUCUGGGUGCAGAAAAGAAAUUCCAUAUGUUGUUGGGUUAGAAAUUAUAAUUUGGCCCCCCAUGUUUGACAUGGUAAUGGAGGCUAGUAUUUAUUGAUCAAAAUGUCAGUGGAGGCUUUCCUUUUCUUUUUUGUCCAUCUCAAGUUUAUCAUCUAAAAU